rnacentral:tRNA from 1 species
UUUGCGUUAGUUUACAGUAAAAUAUGGAUUUUGUAAUUCUUCGAGGGGAGCAUCGGCCCCCACGCAGGG